UUGAACUGCUGUUCAGUUUAUUGCUACCAAAGUUAAACUCACUUGAUCCUUCAUAAUUUGCUAUAAGCAAAAAACAUGCUGUGUAUAAUGACGACUGAAGAUUGCAGGCACUAUGAUAUAACCAAGGACAUUUGUAAUGACUUUCUUAUCUGUGCAAUGAAAUGAAAUGAUCACAAUCUUACAUGGUUUGGCAUCUGUCGUUUUCAAUAUUGAUCCAAAAGAGACCCCCUACAAAGAAAAAUCUUCCCGAUUGCAAGUGCAGCAAAUGCAAUGCAAAUAUGGGAGAAUGCAUAAAUCAUAAAUCUUUCUACUAUCUGCUUUAAGAAAACAGUAUUUUUCUCCAAGAAGCCAUUAUGCAGUUUUCUACCAAGUUUACCUUGCAGAGGAAAUCCUUAAAUCCAAAAUGUUUGAGCACAAUCCAGCUAAUGUUUGAACAUGUUUAAGCACCAUUGAUUGUAGCAGAAGUUAGGCAUAUGCUUAACUCUCUCCUAUUGGCAUGUAGGAGUGCAUAGUUCAUUGCUGAAUUGUGCAACCUAUUAUGUGCUUCGAUGGAAGACCAUCGCCCUAUUGUAUAAGGGCCAAUCGGGACAUGAUUCUAUGAUUGCAAUUAAUAGGACUGUUUUUAAGAUCUUAAGUAGAACCAGGAGUAGCAGUAGUUCUAUAACUUCUGAUUGUUUUAUUUUUUUAUCUCUCACUCAAGAUUUUGAUGCAUCAUGAUGUUUUUCUAAUGUUUCCCUGACGAUUUCUCGAUGUUUCUGUAUUUUCCUUGUGUGUGUCUAUAUUGUUCUUGCAUAUUAUCCAUUCAAAGUCUCUUUCCCCUUCCUGCCAUGCGUACAUGACACCAUUUCCAUAAAACACUCUGUGUAUGUUCUGUUUCUUCAUAGUCCGUCUUAAAAGUCUGGUGCCCCUCAGCACUGUUGUAAUUUAGGAAUAUGUGUUUGCUGUAAAUAAACUGUUGGAUGGUUGACUGCAUGCUCCCUUUUGGAUUCAGACAUUCGUUCUUUGCAGGUCUGAAAUCCUGACAUUUGCUGCCCGGGUGAUGUUUCCAGUACCAGCAUGCUGCUGCUGAAAGGGGCAGGCUUUCUACCCCAGACCUGUCACCCACCCUUCACAGCUGGGUUUUUUCGGUACCACUCACUCAGCCUGUGAUACUAAAGCAGAGCACUGUCAAAGUCAAUAACCAAAAAAACCUCACAAGGAUACUAUUAGGGAAAUGUGGCUUAAUAAUUCAAGGUUGAUUCCAAACAGAAUGCCUUUGUUCCCUUCCAAACUAAAAAGAGUUGACUUCAGGAUGGAUCCUGCUGUUUAUGGAGCCAAUCCUCUAGAAUAUGUGGUGUUUGUCAAUUCAUCCACCCUCUUAAUUUGAUGCCGUAUGAUUGAACUAAUGAUAAGUCCAGCCCCAAGUAUCAGUUUGCUCCCCAGAAUUCUUCCUCCCCAAACAUGAAAUUGUCUGGUUCUCAGUAAUGGCCUAGCUUACCUCUGGGUCCAUCAGCCUUGGUAUUUCAGUUGCAAAUCCCAGCCCUACUUCCUCUUCCAGUUCUGGAUUAGAAUUCAAGUCAAGAACCUUUAAAAGCUGUAUCAUGGAAAGAGUAGGCCCAAUACCUAUAAAAUCUUUAUGUCAAAAAGGGGGCUCCUGGUACCUGCCAGGUAGGUCUAUGGACUUGGGACAGGAAGGACACCCUUCCUGGCACCAAAUGGUUUACCCACCUAGAAUCUGUGGUCUCAGGUGGAGGUGCCUCAGGAAGGUAUCACUGCAUACUUUAAGGUGUACUAGGAGGUGUGGACAACAGUUUGGCUUCCCUGGCCCUAGGACCAAGUAUGCUCACCAUUGAAGAGACCAGGAUCCUGCUCUUCUUUUCACCAUUACAGAUCAGGUUCUAUAAAGUUGAUAUUGCUUAAAAUUUGCCAUAGUUUACCCAAGCUUUUGAGUGCUAUCUCUUUAUUCCAUGGCUUGGUUUCAAUUUCCCAUGUGCAAACAUAUAGAUUGGUGACACAAACAGCUGCCUUAAGUGAGAUAUUCUACAGGUACACACUGACAUUAGUUCCAGACAAGCGUUUGAAACUAUUUCCCAAUCCUACUACCAUUCAAUUCUUUAAUUAGAAAUGAAUGAAAUUCCAACCACAUACUCACAAAACAAGUUCUUACCACUUGCCCCUCCCAACUAUCUCAUCUUAAAUCCAGAAUAUGUUACCCUCACUGUAGGUGCUGUUGAAAAUGGCUUCCAAAGCUGAAUCAUUUCCAUCUCAGCCAUAACACCUACAGUCACAGCACAUAGAUCAAAAAUAUUAUCUGAAUAUCUGUACAUGACUUUACGCCUUGCCAGCAGCAGUAGAGGUAGGUUUAGAAUCUCAUGAUGUGAUGGUACCAAUCUCUGUACUUUAUACUCAUAUACAUUAUGACCAGAAUGACUCAGCAUGUAUGGUGACUCACCAUUUUUAGCAGCACCAUGGAUGAUUCAUCAUUUUCAGCUGCAGUUUGAUGUCUUCUGGAUUUAAGUUGGUGUCUUUGAGCUGAGUUAGCUAUUAAACAACUUGUUGAAAAGUUGAAGGACAACUAGAUAAGGACCAGUAUGAUAUAAGCAUUGGGUAGAGUUGUAAGAGCCCCCACCUGGCAGUUAAAAUCCAUGCUUGGCCAUAAUGUGAGCUGGGAAGCCUUGGCCCACUGCAGUUUUUUGCUCAGUAAGACACUAGAUUAAUACA